UCAGUACUCGGGACUUGGUUACAUGAGCCCCGCCCUGUACUGAAGAAAAGGGGAGCACAGGCCUGUAAUGGACAUUGACCUUGAUUUGUGAGACUCAAACAAGAAAAUGCCUGGAGAGCCCUGGAUUAAAAGAGUGAUGUGGGACGAGCAGAGGCUGGCACCCCGGUGACUGCCACAUAAUAAAGUGACGAUUUGGAGCAUCUUUUUCCAGUACACACAGAAAAACACUGUCUAAUGGAAGUCGCUUUCUUGGCCACCUACACGGUCUUGUGGGCAGCACCAAGCAGGGAGGUGUUUCCAGUGGUGCCAGGACAAGCCCCUGCACAGGCGCACAUACUCACAUGUUACUGCUGGAAGUUUUCAGUCCCAAGCUGAAGGGAAGGAGCCCUCGUUGGCAGUGUUAGGGAGGAAUAUACAUCUGAGAAGUUUGGGGAAGAUGUCGCCUGGCAAGGCCAGAGUAAUUUUAGCCUUCCUCUAACCAAAUCACUGGGA